AGCGAACGCUGGCGGCAGGCCUAACACAUGCAAGUCGAACGAACCCUUCGGGGUUAGUGGCGGACGGGUGAGUAACACGUGGGAGCGUGCCUUUAGGUUCGGAAUAACUCAGGGAAACUUGUGCUAAUACCGAAUGUGCCCUUCGGGGGAAAGAUUUAUCGGCUUUAGAGCGGCCCGCGUCUGAUUAGCUAGUUGGUGAGGUAAUGGCUCACCGAGGCUACGAUCAGUAGCUGGUCUGAGAGGAUGACCAGCCACAUUGGGACUGAGACACGGCCCAAACUCCUACGGGAGGCAGCAGUGGGGAAUCUUGCGCAAUGGGCGAAAGCCUGACGCAGCCAUGCCGCGUGAAUGAUGAAGGUCUUAGGAUUGUAAAAUUCUUUCACCGGGGACGAUAAUGACGGUACCCGGAGAAGAAGCCCCGGCUAACUUCGUGCCAGCCGCCGCAGUAACAC
rnacentral:rRNA from 1 species